AAACUUGGUCCUGAUUUUAUUGUCAGCUUUGAUUAAACCUAUACAUGCAAGUAUCCGCACCCCUGUGAGAAUGCCCUACAUAUUCCUACCCUGGAAAGAAGGAGCAGGCAUUAGGCACAACUUUAGUUAGCCCAUCACGCCUUGCUUAGCCACACCCCCAAGGGAACUCAGCAGUAAUAAACAUUAAGCAAUAAGUGCAAACUUGACUUAAUUACAAUCAAGAGAGUCGGUAAAACUCGUGCCAGCCACCGCGGUUAUACGAGAGACUCGAGUUGACAAACGCCGGCGUAAAAUGUGGCCAAUAUUCUAUUUUACUAAAGCCAAACAUCUUCAAGGCUGUUAUACGCUUUCGAAGACAAGAGGCCCCACCACGAAAGUGGCUUUAAGUAGUAGGACCCCACGAAAACUAGGAACCAAACUGGGAUUAGAUACCCCACUAUGCCUAGCCUUAAACAAAAGUGAUUUUUUACACCUUUCGCUUGCCCGGGAAUUACGAGCACCAGCUUAAAACCCAAAGGACUUGGCGGUGCUUUAUACCCACCUAGAGGAGCCUGUUCUAGAACCGAUAAUCCCCGUUAAACCUCACCCUCUCUUGUUUUUCCCGCCUAUAUACCGCCGUCAUAAGCUCACCCUGUGAAGGAUCCAUAGUGAGCGCAACUGGUACAACCAAAAACGUCAGGUCGAGGUGUAGCGUACGAGAGGGGAAGAAAUGGGCUACAUUCACUGCCUCAGUGAACACGGAUAAUGCUUUGAAACAUGCAUUUAAAGGAGGAUUUAGCAGUAAGGGGAGAGCAGAGUGCCCCCCUGAAAUUGGCUCUAAAGCGCGCACACACCGCCCGUCACUCUCCCC
rnacentral:ncRNA from 1 species